rnacentral:misc_RNA from 1 species
UCCUGUGUUGGUUGCCUAACGUGAGGGAAAUUGACCCCGGAUGAGUCCUAACUUUCGCCUCUCACCCCUUCGUGGUGUUAGGUAGACGUGGAGGUACGCCCAUUCUGCUUGAUUGCUUCACCCUUUCGCGUUGCAAUCAUGGCUCAUGGGUUGCUACUAGUUCCCUCGGAUGCAGAACUUUCGAAUGGUGCACAGCAUGUUGCUGUUGUUUACCCACAAAGCGUUCAUGGCUCGAUGUGUACGACGGUUGUGCCCGUCUUGGUCCCGUCUAAACAUAGUUUGGACGAGGCUCAUGCGGUGCCGGCGUCGCGAAGGAAUGCUACCUGGUUGAUCCUGCCAGUAGUCAUAUGCUUGUCUCAA